CAGGGAAGGAGAAGGAAUGUGCUGUAAUCAAUCCUACAAUCCUGUGAGCCAUUUUCUAAAACUCUAAGGGCAGAGGCCUCCCAGCUCUCUUAAGGACACUUGCACCACGUGCUUUCCAGGAGCUACUCUUGUCUGGGACAGUGCUGGAGAAAUAAGGAACGCUGGAUGCAGGGAGGCUUCCUCAGACUCUCCCUCACUGCAGGAACACCAGUGAUCACAGAAGGCAGAAAACACUCUAAGGAACAGAAAGACUGCCAACUUGGAAUUACCUGGAGUAGUCAAGAAGGAAAAAGGAAAGUGAGAGCAGCUGGCAUUGUGCACAGCAGGCCUCCGCCACUCACAGAAUUUGAGGUCUCACCAAGACUACUUCUCACUACCUCUGGUCCAAGGCAAGACUAUCUAUCUGCUUUGCUCUCCUGGUCUUAGAAAACUCACCCAUCUUCAAAAAUAUAAGUUUAACAAAGACAUGAGGCAGAAGAAAGAAUUACUGCAAAGGAUCCAGAGACUGCAGCCUGACAGAGGUAAAGUGAGGCUCCUGGAGAGGUGGGGCUUCAUAAAAAAGAAGCAACCUUAGCUCAAGAGAAGUGGGUAUUAACCCAGGCUUUCCUUUUCUUUUUUUCACAUUCAUUCAUCUAUCUAUCUAUCUAUCUAUCUAUCUAUCUAUCUAUCUAUCUAUCUAUCUAUCUAUCUAUCUAUCUAGAUAAGGGCUCUCAAUAUGUAGCCCAGCUGGCCUUGAACCCUCAAGACUGCUUCCAAAGUGAUCACUCCCCGCCCCCCAUGUGUAUGGUUGUUUUGUCUACAUGUAAACUUGUGUACCACUUGCAUGACUGGUGCCCUUGGAGGCCAGAGAGGGUGUCAGAAUCCCUUAAAACUGGAAUUAAAGAUGCCACGUGGAUGCUAGGAUUUGAACCUGGGUCUUCUAGAAGAGAAACCAGUGGAUUUUGUUGGUAGUGCUGGGUUGUUUGGUUGUUCUUGUUUUGUUGUGUUUUGUUUUGUACACAGGGUCUUACUAUGAAACUCUGGCUAUCCUGGAACUCACUGUGUAGACCAGGUUGUCCUUGAACUCAACUCAACUUGAACUCAACUCAAGGUUGCCUGCCUUUUGCUUUGCUACUGCUGGUAUUAAAGAUGUAUACCACCAGACCCUGCUUAAAAGCCAGUGUUCUAUUUCUCUGUAUAGCUGUGGCUGUACUGAAACUCUCUAUGUACUGAAACUCUCUAUGUAGACCAAGCUGGCCUAAACUCAGAGAUUUGACUGGCUUUGUACCGGAAGUCACUGUGAUUAAAGGUAUGUGCCAUCACCACUAGACAGAAGCCAGGACUCUUAACUGCUGGCCUAUUUCUCCAGCUCACUAACCCAGUCUUUUGAAAAUGGUAUAAGAGCCCAGCAGUUCUGGCUCAGAACUUGGGAGGCAGAGGCAGGCAGAUCUCUGAGUUCAAGGCUACAAAGCGAGUCCCAGGACAGCCAGGGCUAUACAUGUAAUUAUUGUCUCAAAAGAAAAAAAAAAAAAAGAAAGAAAAUGACCUAAGAAAUGUAAGCUUUGAGCCGGACAGUGGUGGCGCACGCCUUUAAUCCCAGCGCUUGGGAGGCAGAGACAGGUGGGUUUCUGAGUUCGAGGCCAGCCUGGUCUACAGGGUGAGUUCCAGGACAGCCAAGGCUAUACAGAGAAACCCUGUCUUGAAAACAAAAACAACAAACAAACAAAAAGAAACGUAAGCUUCGUUUUCCCCACUUACUUUUUUUAUCAGGUAGGCUAUGCUAUGUAGUCCCAGUGUACAGUCAAGUAUAACCUUAAAGCUAAUCCACCUACUACUUCCUAAUUACAGGUGUGUGUCUUCAUGUGCAUAUGAUUUGAAUUCCUAAUGAUGGUAAUUUUUGAUGAGGUCCUGUCUCAAAAAACAAAAAGAAACAAACCAAGACAUUCACCAAUUUUUGUAUUUUGUUCAUUAAUUCAUCUCAAGUGCACAGAGCAAUGCCUGGCGAAUCCCGAGCUCUCAAUAUUUGUUCAAAGUUGAGAAUAAAGUUUAAAAAGAAAUCUCUCAGCACGAUGAUUUAUUAUAACUGGAUUUUGCAUCUAAGUGGAUUUUGUAGUGAGAUUGUUCUACGAUGAUAUUAUUGCCAACCCACCCUCUCCUCUGACACACUGAAAACUGCCACCCUAGCCACACUGCUCUCUGGAAUAAAGGACAAGAGCAUUUCCUCUGCAACUGGGGAACUGUGCUGUCUGGCAUAGGGAAGUCUUCUCAAGUAUAGUCUAAGAGCCACCAACAGAAGUUGUUCUACUAACUCCUAGCUCCAUACAGAAAGAUCACCCCACAGAGCAGGCUCUGUUCUACAGCCACUUGGCUGUUCAAGUACCAAAAUGGAGCCCUCAAUGGGAACGAGUUUUCUUAAUGGGAAAAAAAAAAUCCUAACAGAAGGAAAUGGUUGUGCCCCUUCAUCCACACUCACAGCAACCACACAGGGCUAGCUGCCCACAAGUUGCAACUGGACCUUAAUCUGGCAUUGGUGACUGUUGUUGCAGCCAGAGUCUGGUAUUCCUGGAAGGAAUGGGAGCACACACCCCCACCCUCACAGAAGCCAAAAUCCCUAAUGGCAACCUGCCAAGUGGGAGAGCCAGUGUUCUUGUGGCCAGCAAUGUCUAAGCACCUACACAGCCAUGCUAACAACAGAAUACAACCCAGGAUUCUGCUCCUGACUCUUUCACUGG